GAGUUUGAUCCUGGCUCAGAAUGAACGUUGGCGGCGUGGAUUAGGCAUGCAAGUCGAGCGGGCCAGCAAUGGCCAGUGGCGAAAGGGACAGUAACACGUAGAUCACCUACCCUCAGGGCCGGGAUAGCCACGGGAAACUGUGGAUAAUACCGGAUAAUGUCUUCGGACCAAAGGUGUGAUUCCACCUGAGGAUGGGUCUGCGUCCUAUUAGCUUGUUGGUGAGGUAACGGCUCACCAAGGCGAUGAUGGGUAGUGGGUGUGAGAGCACGACCCGCGUCACUGGGACUGAGAUACUGCCCAGACACCUACGGGUGGCUGCAGUCGAGGAUCUUCGGCAAUGGGCGCAAGCCUGACCGAGCGACGCCGCGUGCGGGAUGGAGGCCUUCGGGUUGUAAACCGCUGUCGGAGGGGAUGAAAUGCAUGGGGGUUCUCCCCCAUGCUUGACAUAUCCUCGGAGGAAGUACGGGCUAAGUUCGUGCCAGCAGCCGCGGUAAGACGAACCGUACAAACGUUAUUCGGAAUCACUGGGCUUAAAGGGUGCGUAGGCGGCGCGGAAAGUUGGGUGUGAAAUCCCUCGGCUCAACCGAGGAACUGCGCCCAAAACUACCGUGCUUGAGGGAGAUAGAGGUGAGCGGAACUUAGGGUGGAGCGGUGAAAUGCGUUGAUAUCCUAAGGAACACCAGUGGCGAAAGCGGCUCACUGGGUCUCUUCUGACGCUGAUGCACGAAAGCUAGGGUAGCGAACGGGAUUAGAUACCCCGGUAGUCCUAGCCGUAAACGAUGAGCACUGGGUUGAAGGGCCCUCCAUAGCCCUUCAGCCGAAGCGAAAGUGUUAA
rnacentral:rRNA from 1 species